GAUGAACGCUGGCGGCGUGCCUAAUACAUGCAAGUUGUGCGGUAACAGAGAGAGCUUGCUCUCUGCUGACGAGCGGCGGACGGCAGAGUAACGCGUAGGAACAUACCCCAAACUGAGGGAUAACUGCUCGAAAGAGUAGCUAAUACCGCAUAUGGUCUUCGGAUUAAAGCUUCGGCGGUUUGGGAGUGGCCUGCGUCCGAUUAGCUAGUUGGUGAGGUAAUUGCUCACCAAGGCGACGAUCGGUAGCUGGUCUGAGAGGAUGAUCAGCCUGACUGGAACUGAGAACGGUCCAGACUCCUACGGGAGGCAGCAGUAGGGAAUUUUCCACAAUGGGCGAAAGCCUGAUGGAGCAACGCCGCGUGCAGGAUGAAUGCCUUCGGGUUGUAAACUGCUUUUCUGUGUGAAGAAUAUGACGGUAACACAGGAAUAAGGGUCGGCUAACUACGUG
rnacentral:rRNA from 2 species